UACGAAGGGGGCUAGCGUUGUCCGGAUUUAUUGGGCGUAAAGAGCUCGUAGGCGGUUGGGUAAGUCGGGUGUGAAAACUCCAGGCUCAACUUGGAGAUGCCACCCGAUACUGCUCUGACUUGAGUUCGGUAGGGGAGUGGGGAAUUCCUGGUGUAGCGGUGAAAUGCGCAGAUAUCAGGAGGAACACCGGUGGCGAAGGCGCCACUCUGGGCCGAAACUGACGCUGAGGAGCGAAAGCGUGGGUAGCAAACAGG
rnacentral:rRNA from 1 species